rnacentral:rRNA from 1 species
GUGGGGAAUCUUCCGCAAUGGACGAAAGUCUGACGGAGCAACGCCGCGUGAGUGAUGAAGGUCUUCGGAUUGUAAAGCUCUGUUAAUCGGGACGAAAGAGCCUAGUGUGAAUAAUGCUAGGAAGUGACGGUACCGGAAUAGAAAGCCACGGCUAACUACGUGCCAGCAGCCGCGGUAAUACGUAGGUGGCAAGCGUUGUCCGGAAUUAUUGGGCGUAAAGCGCGCGCAGGCGGAUCUGCCAGUCUGUCUUAAAAGUUCGGGGCUUAACCCCGUGAUGGGAUGGAAACUACAGAUCUAGAGUAUCGGAGAGGAAAGUGGAAUUCCUAGUGUAGCGGUGAAAUGCGUAGAUAUUAGGAAGAACACCAGUGGCGAAGGCGACUUUCUGGACGAAAACUGACGCUGAGGCGCGAAAGCCAGGGGAGCAAACGGGAUUAGAAACCCGAGUAGUCC